CGGACCCGGGAGCAAGGUGCUGCUGUCGCCAUCCAGUGAUCCAAUGACUUCACCCUACACCCCACCUUGGCCGCCGGCACAGAGGACCACCUGCGGUGAAGGUCUCAAAGGACCAACAGGAAAUGAGGUUGCCUGUGAAAGCAGACAGUGCCGAGGGCAAAGGCCCAGCUUCAGGUAAGACAUCACACAGCGUGGGAGUUGAGAUCCACCCAAGUUUGAUUCCCUAAAGAGGAAAGCGUUUUCUACAGAAAAACAAGGAGAGGGAGAAAUCACCGGUGGGGAGUCAAAGGCUAGGACGCUUGUUGUCUCAGUGGCACGGAGGACGAGCUUGGGCUCACGUAGUGUCUGCCGAUGGGGCCUGGCGUCCCCGCGCUAGCCCCGCCACCUGCUCUGUGUGCCACAAAGCAGCAGGUGCAAGACGUGGGGCUGGACGCCCAGCUGAAAGAGUGCCUGCAAGGUAGGAGCUGGCCCUGGGUGGCGUCGCCGUGGCCGCCGAUCUGAGCCGGGGACCCUGACGUGCAACGGUGGCCAACCUAACGAUGGCACCAGAGCGAGGGCCACGGAGGGUUUGACUAGUGACCGGAACCAAAGGCCUGAUGUGCUCUGUUAGAGGCUCAGACUCCACCACCCGCAUGCUGUCUGCUGAAAUGCACGGUGAUUUUGUUAUUCACUCGCCUGACCCUUCCAGAGUCCUUCUGAGACGGCCCCACCUCAUCUAAGGAAAUGUUCGCCACUCAGCUUUUAAACAACUACCUACCGUCGGCCACGAUGACGCCUCCUGCUGCCGCCGUCGCUUCAGAGCUCAUAGUGCAAUUCUCCAGUGCUCCUGUUUCUAGAAAAGAGGUGGAGGCUGACCUCUCAACACGCCCGUGGCCGCAGGAGUCAGUGACUCCUGUUUCUAGAAAAGAGAUGGAAGCUGAGAGGGACACAAGAAUGACCCUUGGAGCCGAAAGGAGCUGAGAAAAUCCCCCAACUCCUCAAGCUGAGGAUUAACACCAAGUGAUUCUGGACCAGCCGUUUGCAGGUGCCGAGAGGCGCUCCCCUCGCGGGAGCUGGGAAGAUACCAGGCGCUCUCAUCCCACGUGGCCACGCCCUCAUGGAGGCCAAGGCCACCACAGAGACAGACACAGGUCGGGAGUUGGGCUCGAGGACCAAAUGCAAAGUAACUGUGGUUGUUGUUUGGGGAAACAACAGGCAAAGGGAAAAACAUCUGAAGAGAACAGAAAACUUGUUUAAAUCGCACGUGUAUUUGAAGAGAAACCAAAUGAAACUUAGAGCUGCAGAAAAUACCACUGACGUGGGGUGGCUGGCUGAGGGUUU
rnacentral:lncRNA from 1 species